GAUGAACGCUGGCGGCGUGCCUAAUACAUGCAAGUCGAGCGAACAGACGAUGAGCUUGCUCCUCGCACGUUAGCGGCUGAUGGGUGAGUAACACGUGGAUAACCUACCUUUAAGACUGGGAUAACUUCGGGAAACCGCAGCUAAUCCCGGAUAAUAUAUUGAACAUCAUGGUUCAAUAGUGAAAUACGGUUUUGCUUUUACUUAUAGAUGGAUCCUCAGCGCAUUAGCUAGUUGGUAAGGUAACGGCUUACCAAGGCAACGAUGCGUAGCCGACCUGAGAGGGUGACCGGCCACACUGGAACUGAGACACGGUCCAGACUCCUACGGGAGGCAGCAGUGGGGAAUCUUCCGCAAUGGGCGAAAGCCUGACGGAGCAACGCCGCGUGAGUGAUGAAGGUCUUCGGAUCGUAAAACUCUGUUAUCAGGGAAGAACAAAUGUGUAAGUAACUAUGCACGUCUUGACGGUACCUAAUCAGAAAGCAACGGCUAACUACGUG
rnacentral:rRNA from 1 species